GGGGGGGUGCCCGAGUGGCCAAUGGGAGCGGGCUGUAAACCCGUCGGCGAGAGCCUACAGAGGUUCAAAUCCUCUCCCCCCCACCA
rnacentral:tRNA from 1 species